rnacentral:piRNA from 1 species
UAGUUGUUCUGUUGUACAAGUUUGGAAG